rnacentral:rRNA from 1 species
UACGUAGGGGGCUAGCGUUGUCCGGAUUUAUUGGGCGUAAAGAGCGUGUAGGCGGCCAGGUAGGUCCGGUGUGAAAACUCGAGGCUUAACCUCGAGAUGUCAUCGGAAACCAUCUGGCUAGAGUCCGGAAGAGGAAAGUGGAAUUCCUGGUGUAGCGGUGAAAUGCGCAGAUAUCAGGAAGAACACCGAUGGCGAAGGCAGCUCUCUGGGACGGUACUGACGCUGAGACGCGAAAGCGUGGGGAGCGAACAGG